rnacentral:tRNA from 1 species
UUCCUAAUUAAUAAUAAGCUGCAAUAAUAGCUUAAAAAGAGCAUUGGUCUUGUAAGCCAAAAGUGAGUAUAUUAUCUCUUAUUGCU